UACGAAGGGGGCUAGCGUUGCUCGGAAUCACUGGGCGUAAAGGGUGCGUAGGCGGGUCUUUAAGUCAGGGGUGAAAUCCUGGAGCUCAACUCCAGAACUGCCUUUGAUACUGAGGAUCUUGAGUUCGGGAGAGGUGAGUGGAACUGCGAGUGUAGAGGUGAAAUUCGUAGAUAUUCGCAAGAACACCAGUGGCGAAGGCGGCUC
rnacentral:rRNA from 1 species